UGCCCGAGAGCCCGAGGAACAACCCCAUUGUAAUGACAGUGAGGUCAGAGCGAGGCGAAAACAACAGACCUGCUCGGGACGCAAAGCCCCGCUGGGCUCUCCGCAGCUCGGGGCCAACUCUGGAGUAGAGAAAGGGCACUUAUUGGGGCGGCCGUAUGGGCUGCUGGAGACGGUGGGAGGGAUGUAUGGGGGGGCGUCAAGAGUAUCAUCUGAGGAGCUAGAGCGGCCUCCGUAAAAGCCGCUGCGGGACCAGCGGCCACAGACCCGUUGGGCGCCGCAGCCCCCGUCCGCCGGGGCGGUCUGGGCUGCGGCAGGCGCGGGCGCUGUCCCUGGUGCUGAACGGCGCCGCGGUCGGUGCGCCUCCCGGGGUUCCGCUCCCUCGUCUCCCUUAGCCCCCCAUCCCUCCCCCCGAGGCCUGCAGCCCCUCAAGUGCGGCCCCAGCGUGGGCUCGGGGGGUCGGGCAGGGGCGGGGGGGUCUGGUGGCAGGUGCCUAGUGGCGCCCCCAGGUUGCCCCCCAGCCUGAGGCCGGGAGCUCUCCGCGGUGCUGCAAGGACCCGGAGCUCGGAGACCGCCCGGAGCUUGAAGGGUAAAAGCCCAGGAAGCAGUGGGAGACCAAUCGAGGCACUGCAGGGAGCAGACCCGGACCUGACGGCACCCACCCGGGCUCUCCAUAAAGCCGAGAUCCGGGUUCACUAUCGGAAUCCAAACGCACAGGGGCAGGGAAAUCAGGGUUGCUCAAGGGACAGGCGGGAUAGGGAAAGUUUGGCACGGCAGCGGCGGUGGUGGCAGCGGCCGGCAGCGGCCCCGGGGGUCCCGGUGGGGCGGCGGGGUCCCCGAAAGCCCCGGCCCGGUCUCCUCCUUACCUCCGUGCUUUCGGCCGCGUUCUCCGCCAUUUUCCUCCGGAGGAGCAGGCAGCGGGAGGAGUGUUUCAUGCCCAUAAGAGCCAACAAGGGUUUGGGGAUUCGAGAUAGUAAAGAAAGGGAGAGGCUGGCGCGGCUUUAAAAGAGAGCCAAAGAGCGCCGGAGGAAGGUGGGGGGGGGGGGAGAUCCCAGCCAGCCCCUCUGCCAGGGCGUCCUCCGCGACAACCGAGCUCGGUGGAGUCCCUCCCGCGGUCGCCACUUUGUUCACGUCCCCUCGCUCUUCAUCUGCCUCGCAUCCCCUUCGCGCACUUGCAAGUUCUGGUCGAGCUGGCGACCCCCUCCGCGCCCCUCUCCCCUGCGCGGCGGCGGGCUGGGCGGGAGGGAGGCGCCCCCCUCCCUUCCCCCGCGGGCUCGCCGGCGGGGGGUCUCCGCGGUUCCCAAGUCCGGUCCGGCCGGAGGCGGACGCCAACUCUCCCAACUUCUGCCGAGCCCGGGCUGAAGAAGCAACACGCGUCCUGCUCGGCUCGCCCGGGGGGCUGAGCGGGGCCCCAACACCAGAAGGGCUUCAAACCCCUCUCAGGAGGACCCGGGUGGGCCUUAAGCCAGGAAGUGUAAGAGUGACUGUCCUCAACUAACCCGGGUCCAUUGAGGAAAAGGGCCAAAACCAGGCUCAGUAUGAUGGAUGCUUCUAUCAGACCAGAGUCUCAGGCAAAGAGAAGAGACACUGCCAUAAGCGGAGAACCAGAGUAAAUGCAAGUGGAUGACCCAACCUUCUCAGCAGCAGACCUUAAUUCGAGUUGGGCAUGAAUGAGCAGAGUCUUUGGCAAUACACGGUCCUUCUUCGCUGCGGUUCUGACAUUCUGCCGAAAGCUGUGUGGGGGAGGGACAUAAGUGCACCUAAAGAGGGACUUUUACCCUCUGGUACCCCCUUUUUUCCCUAAGCAUCUUCUCUCAAAUAAAAAAAACUCUGCGAUGUUGGAUCAAAA